AGGAAGGAGCCAUAGCUCAUGGUAACAGCAUCUGCUUUGCAUGCAGGAGGUCCCGGUUCAAUCCCAGGCCUCUCUA